GCCAGACUCCUACGGGAGGCAGCAGUGGGGGAUAUUGCACAAUGGGGGGAACCCUGAUGCAGCGACGCCGUGUGGGUGAAGGAGCGUUUCGGCGCGUAAAGCCCUAUCGGCAGGGAAGAAGGAGGACGGUACCUGACUAAGAAGCCCCGGCUAACUACGUGCCAGCAGCCGCGGUAAUACGUAGGGGGCAAGCGUUAUCCGGAUUUACUGGGUGUAAAGGGGGCGCAGACGGCAGCGCAAGCCAGGAGUGAAAGCCCGGGGCCCAACCCCGGGACUGCUCUUGGAACUGCGCGGCUGGAGUGCAGGAGGGGCAGGCGGAAUUCCUGGUGUAGCGGUGAAAUGCGUAGAUAUCAGGAGGAACACCGGUGGCGAAGGCGGCCUGCUGGACUGCGACUGACGUUGAGGCCCGAAAGCGUGGGGAGCAAACAGGAUUAGAUACCCCUGUAC
rnacentral:rRNA from 1 species